UUUUUUUUUUUUCUUCUAGGAGCGUCAGGAGAGCCACACUGCCUCUACCCAAUGAAAGUAAUUGAGUGAAUGAUUUCACUUGUUUCUUCUUUGCGCUGAAUUAGGUCGUUGCCAUCUGUGGACUGUGCUAAAUACCACAGGGGAAGGAGGCUGUUUUCUCAUGUCAUUUAUGUAAUGGCUGUGUUGUCACUUGCCACCUUUGAGCAAAAUCAAUAUGUAGCCGGAGUUCAGCCAGGUUUCCUACAGCUGAAAUAAAGUAGGGAAUUGGGGCAAUUGUUCAGUUAAAAUGAGCCAUUUUAAAAAGCAACACUGCCUUCAAAUUACUCAAAUGCUUCAGGGAACAUUUCUAAUUGUUCUGGCUUCACACUUUGUUUCAGCUAUUGAUGUCUGGCCGCAAGCACAUGCAAGUGGGUGAGGAAUUGUUAGGCAGAUACAUUCUCUUCAAAUAUUGGAAGGGUAGUCAGGAAUAAGGAUUGGACUUUUCUGCAUGAAACUGAAAGAACUAGGAGGACACUGGGUAGGAUCUAUUGAGGCAAGUUUAAGCUCAGUUGAAAGAGAAGCUCCAAUUUUCUGACAAUAAGAUGGACUUCCCUGGGAAGUACUGAAGGGUCUGUAGCUGGAAGUGUUCAAGAGAAGGAUUUGAUCAGUGUUUCUCAAACUAUGGCUCACAACUCACUAAAGGGUUAUCAAGUGAAUUUAAAAAGAAUAAAAGGUAUCAGAGAGCAUUACAAUAGAUAUCAAUAUUGUUUUGUGACCUUUCUUUUUCGUGUGUGUGUGUAUGUGUGUGUUUACUAGGUUACAAUGCGAAAUGCAUUUUUAGCAUAGGCUACAGUCUAAAAAGUUUUUCUAACUAGAUUAUACAUCUAGUUGAGGGGAAACACAAGUAUUGAGUGGGACUGAUUGAACUAAAUGACUAUUAAGACCCAGCUCAAAAAGGCAAACAAUCAUAAUGUUAAAAGGAUCACAAUCUCCAUAAGCUAAAAUGAAAUCAGUUUGCCAAAAAUAUGGAACUAUUCCCAAUCCUGAGCCUGGAAAAAAAUUUUCCCGAGGCUCCCUAGAGAGAAAACACUGUAUAAAGUAACUUUUAAAUACCUUCUUACAAUACACACAAUGACAAGUUUCAUAGGGAUGUUUUAAUGAUAUCCCAAUAUAUGAGCUCAUGGCAUCACACGAAAACAAAAGUCAAAACUCAAGUCUAUGGAAAGCCAAGAUUGAUGCAGACCAGGGCAAGUCUUUCCAUUGAUCUGGUCUAUCCAUGUGCAGAUACAAGCUCGAAGGUACUCAUCUCCUUCAUAGUUAAGACCAUACUGAGAGAUAACAACAUGCUAGCAGACCUCGCUCUCGGCACCUCCUCGGCCUCGGUCCACUCUGGUGGCACUUGAGGAGACCUUCAGCCCACCACGGCAUGGUGGGAGCCCCUCUCUGGGCUGGCCGAGGCCGGAGCCGGCUCCCUCUGCUUGCAGGAAGGUGUGGAGGGAGAGGCGCAGGUGGGAACCAGGGCCGCGAGCCCUGCUCAUGGGCCAGCUUAGCCACGAUGGGCACAGGUGGUGGGCGGGGGCCUGCACUCGGAGCAGCUGGCCAGGGGUGCCACUGCUGCCCCGGGCAGUGAGGGGCUUAGCACCCGGGCCAGUAGCUGCAGAGGGUGCACCACGUCCCCCAGGACUGCCAGCCCACCUGCACUCCACUCAAUUCUUGCUGGGCCUCAGCCACCUCCCCGCAGGGCAGGUCUCGGGACC
rnacentral:lncRNA from 1 species